AGGUGUCAGUCGCGCUUCCCAUGUUAAAGUGUCUCCUCCGAUCUAACUAUAAGCCGGGUCUUUAGUGUCUGUCUUUCUGCUGCUCUUCUCCCUUCUCUCUCUCUUUCUCUCCCUCUCUCUUGCUCAGAACGGUCAUAUCGCGGCGUGCGGAAGAGGAGGAGGAGGGGGAUUAGUGGCCAGGUGUGUGGUGGUGUAGUGUGCUCCUGUUGCUGGGAGUCACGUGACUUUCCUGCUGCGGAGAGCGAGGGGCGGACGAGACCUGGUGGCGAGGGCGGCGACAGUGCUGGUGGACCGUCGCUACCGCCGUCACCUGGUGCUGUGGUGCGGUGUGGUGGUGUGGCGGCGUGCUGUGGUGCGGUAGCUGGCCCUCCUGUCCAUUUACCGCCAGACUCAAAAGGAAUCGAAACAAACAGAAAAGAGGAGACGCAAAAAACCAAGGAAUUAAUUAUGGCUGGGGAAGGAUGGGCUGCCUACCUACCUACCUACCUACCUACCUACCUACCUACCUACCUACCUUGCCUGCCUGGCUGCCUUCCUGCUCCUCAACCAGCGGGAGGCAUCGGCGCAACGGAAGGCGAGAGGACCAAGGGAUGAUAGGAUUGGAGGACUGGCGGCGGUGGGGAGGCAGCCAUUCCGGAGAGAGGCGGGCGUCAUUAGCCUAAUAUUGCUAAUGUCCAGCUGGCGGGGCGGCGUGACACGUCUCUUCCUAAUCCUUCACUGAAUGGAUAAAUCAAACAACCUCACUAGGCAGGUCCACUGAGUAAAAUCAGAAAUAUUUCCUGAACAAGAAUGAAGACACAGAGGGACUUGUCUUAUUUCACACUGGCUCCUGUUCACCAAAAAAAUUAAUUAUAGAAUCCACACCAAGGAGCUUUGACCUUGUGUCUGGCUGGUCUGGAAGAAUACCUUUCUUCCUACUUAUGCAUGAACUUUCUUUUUAAAAGACAAUAAAGUAAAGGGAUAAACAAGGCUAGAUAUAUAAGGGUCAAUUUUACUCAUUUGUAAAUUAUGAUUUGCUUGCAUCUAUUUCAUAAGUUCUAUCCUUACAUGCUAACUUAAAACUGCAUGGUUUGUAAACAUUUCUAAGGGUUACAAAAUAAAUAAAGUUGAAUUAUUUAUUAUAAACAAAGGAUAAUAUUGAAUGGAAUGAGAUGUAUAAAGAAAAGAAAAGAAAAGGAAAUUACCAUGAUGAAGAGAAUGAGAAAAAUACUCUUGGGGUCUAGUGAUAAAACCUGCAUAAAC